AAUUGCUCGGUUAAUUUUUUCUCUUGCGUAAGAAAUCACCUUGAAUGUUCUCAUGUAAUAUGUAAAGUGGGGAAGGUGGUAGAUAAACAUAACCCAUUGGAUUCUCUUUUCCAAUACCUUGAUUAGAUCCUGCGCUGAAAGAGACACCAAGAAAAAAGAUGGCAUUCCAGAAGAAGAAAAAGGAAAUGUAAAACAGUGUGAAAUCAAUUAUGUAAAGAAAUUUCAGAGCUUCCAAGACCACAAACUUAAAAUAAGUAAAGGAGACAGUAAAAUUCUUAAAAAAAGGCUCAGAAAGGUGGAUUUUUGCAUGAGACGUUUCCAGACAGGAGAGCCAAAUUGAAAGCUGACAGAUACUGCAAAUGACUUGAGAUUUUUGUUUCUGCCUUAUCUUUUGUGUUUUUUUUUCCUAAAUAAAAU